AGGGUGAGGUCUUGAGUUCGUGGA
rnacentral:siRNA from 1 species